GAUGAACGCUAGCUACAGGCUUAACACAUGCAAGUCGAGGGGUAGCAGGGCCUAGCAAUAGGUUGCUGACGACCGGCGCACGGGUGAGUAACACGUAUCCAACCUGCCCUAUACUCGGGGAUAGCCUUUCGAAAGAAAGAUUAAUACCCGAGAGUAUAAUUAGAUCGCCUGAUUUGAUUAUUAAAGAAUUUCGGUAUAGGAUGGGGAUGCGUUCCAUUAGAUUGUUGGUGGGGUAACGGCCUACCAAGUCUUCGAUGGAUAGGGGGUCUGAGAGGACGCUGCGCCACACAGGUACUGAGACACGGACCAGACUCCUACGGGAGGCAGCAGUGGUGAAUAUUGCACACUGGGCGCAAGCCUGAUGCAGCCAUGCCGCGUGUGUGAAGAAGGCCUUAGGGUUGUGAAGCACUUUCAGCGGGGAGGAAGGGUAUACGCUUAAUACGUUUAUACAUUGACGUUACCCGCAGAAGAAGCACCGUCUAACUCCGUGCCAGCCGCCGCGGUAAGAG
rnacentral:rRNA from 1 species